rnacentral:rRNA from 1 species
UACGUAGGGUGCAAGCGUUGUCCGGAAUUAUUGGGCGUAAAGAGCUCGUAGGCGGUUUGUUGCGUCGGCUGUGAAAACCCGGGGCUCAACUCCGGGCCUGCAGUCGAUACGGGCUGGCUUGAGUGCGGUAGGGGAGACUGGAAUUCCUGGUGUAGCGGUGAAAUGCGCAGAUAUCAGGAGGAACACCGGUGGCGAAGGCGGGUCUCUGGGCCGUAACUGACGCUGAGGAGCGAAAGCGUGGGGAGCGAACAGG